CAAUCCAUGAAGUAAAGUGGCGACCGGGAUGAGUAACACGUGACUAACCUACCUUCUAGUGGGGGAUAACCUCGGGAAACCGAGGCUAAUACCGCAUAACAUCGCAAGAUCAAAGCAGCAAUGCGCUGGAAGAGGGGGUCGCGGCUGAUUAGCUAGUUGGCGGGGUAACGGCCCACCAAGGCGAAGAUCGGUAUCCGGCCUGAGAGGGCGCACGGACACACUGGAACUGAAACACGGUCCAGACUCCUACGGGAGGCAGCAGUGGGGAAUUUUGCGCAAUGGGGGAAACCCUGACGCAGCAACGCCGCGUGGAGGAUGAAGUCCCUUGGGACGUAAACUCCUUUCGACCAAGACGAUAAUGACGGUACUGGUGGAAGAAGCACCGGCUAACUCUGUGCCAGCAGCCGCGGUAAUACAGAGGGUGCAA
rnacentral:rRNA from 1 species